GAUGAACGCUGGCGGCGUGCCUAAUACAUGCAAGUCGAGCGAACAGAUGAGGAGCUUGCUCCUCUGACGUUAGCGGAGGACGGGUGAGUAACACGUGGAUAACCUACCUAUAAGACUGGGAUAACUUCGGGACACCGGAGCUAAUACCGGAUAAUCUAUUGAACCGCAUGGUUCAAUAGUGAAAGACGGUUUUGCUGUCACUUAUAGAUGGAUCCGCGCCGCAUUAGCUAGUCGGUAAGGUAAAGGCUUACCAAGGCAACGAUGCGUAGCCGACCUGUGAGGGUGAUCGGCGACACUGGAACUUAGCCACGGACCUGACGCCUACGGGAGGCACCAGUCGGGAACCUUCCGCAAUGGGCGAAAGCCUGACGGAGCAGCCCGGCGUGAGAUGUGAAGGUCUUCGGAGCGUGAUACUCUGUUACGAGGUAAGAACAAAUGUGUAAUUAACCAUGCACGUCUUGACGGUACCUAAUCAGAAAGCCACGGCUAACUACGUG
rnacentral:rRNA from 1 species